CACUUCAUAUUUUUCACUUAAUACUUUCAGAGUGCUUUGAUAAUCUUGCAUGCUGCUUAGAUUCAUUAAAUGUGUGUUUGGCACCUUCAAUUUUCAGUCACACCUAGAGGCAGCAGCCACAAUUUUUUUUAGUUACCCUAAAUCUGCAUUAUGUGUAACUGCAGUAAGAAAUGUAAUACUGCACCAUGUUUAUUUUACAACCUAAAUUCCCAAAAUGUUGGCACACUCUGUACAAUGUAAACAAAAUGUGAUGAUGUGCAAAACAAUGAAACUGCACAUUUAAUUGGAAAUAGCACAAAAGUAACUGAUCAAAUGUUGAAACUGAAAGAUUUUAUUGCUUUUGGAAAAAAAUGCCCAUUUUUAAAUUUAAUGCCAGCAACACAUUUCCAAAGUUUAUACCUAUAAAACCACUUUGUGUCAUAGAUUUACUUUCAGGUAAAAGUUUUAUAGCAUCUGAACAUUUCUUGCUUUGGCUCAUGUUGUGUUUUUAAAAGAUCUGAAAAUUGCAGUUUUAAUCCUAUGCUGAGUUUUUUGAUGGAGCAACAUUCAUUUUGAAGACUGGGACUGUCUGCAUUUUAAAAUGCUUCAUCAUUUCCUUUCCGCAUCAUCAUUAGUUCUGCUUUUUUUAACGGUCAUCCUGACACCAUCACAUUUUAUCAAGACCUUGCCUCCACCCAGCACAGAUUCUAAUGUAUUUUGACCCCUGAAGUACAUACUGGUAAUUUUUACCUCUGUCUGCAUCAUUUGUGUUGUUGAGAAGAUGGUGCAACUCCUGCUGUGGGCUUAGCAUAUGGUUGAGGUAAACUUGGAUGAGCUGCAUAGCCAUAUAUAUAAGAAUUAGAAAGUGUGUUGUGUCCAGAAUCCAAAAUGACUGUACGUGUGUACAGUAAACAGUAACAACCACACUUGAGUCAUUAUAAAGCUUAAGGACACAUCGACAGCCAGGCUACAGCAAUAAAAGUCUACAAUUUAUAGUCGACAAUGAUGUUUUUAAUAUUGCUCUGAAGUUGUGACGUCAAAUCCCAAGACCUAGGUAUAACUAGACCAUGCUGUGACAACACAGGCAUUUUAACUGUUAAAAAAAGAGCUGUCUUAAUAUAUUUUUAAAAACAUUUUCAAUGUUUUAUGUGUUUUUAGACAGAAUUCCUCCUAGUAUGACACUAUGGCUGUUUUACUCUGUGAAUUAACCUCAGCUCUCUGAUUUCAACAGUAAAUCUGUUGAACUAGUGGCGUCAGUAUGCAUGAGGAAAUAAAGUGACAGUCCCAAUCAUCAAAAUGAAUGUUGCUCCACCAAAGAAUUCAACACAGGAUUGAACUGGACUUCCAAAUGUUGAGGGCUUUUUAAAAACAUGAGCCAAAGCCAGAAAUGUUCUGAUUCCGAUUUUUUUUCUGGAAGUAGAGCUGUUCAAGUGUUUCAACCAGUGACUGGAUUUCCACACAGAUGUCAGUGGAUUUGACUUGGUGACUGACAGCUUAAUGCACUGAUUGGGGAACAGCCUCAGCCUGUAGCUUGCCCACAAAGUUUCAGCUCCUCCCCCCAGUGAAAAAAAAUAGUACUCUCAUAUUUUCUCACAUCCUGUCCACCCACAACAUUCUCCACCACCACACAGCUUCUCUGCAUUAAACAACUAAAUCAAGUCUGUUGCCAAUGGAGGGGACUGAGUCAACAACUAGAGGGAGAACAACAGCAAGAGACCGAAAUCAGGAGGCAGACCAAAGUGUGCUGAUGUACAGCAAGCCUCUGCAUCGCUUCGUCCAAAGAGAGCCCAGAACUCUUGGGAUUCCCAUUGUGAUCUUUGGAUGUGCAGAGUUCCUGAUGGGAUUUUUUUUGGCCAUUGAAAAUGUGAUGACUUCUUAUAAAAUCUUCAUCCCCUACUGGCAGGGACUUCUGUUUAUUGUCUGUGGAAGCCUCUCUCUCUACACUGGGCUACAUCCAUCCAAGAAGAUGGUGACUGUGAGUCUGGCCAUGUACAUCAUGUCUAUCUUGGGAAUCGUGGUCUCUGUUGGCUACAGGAUAGACAACUUCUUCUAUUUAAGCUACCUUACACUAUGGGGACAUUGGGGGGACUACAGUGACUGGUGCUUUUACAAAAUGAGCAGCUUUUAGCUGUGGAAAUCAUAUUGUUCAUUUCCUCCCUGUGCGUGUCAGUGCUCCUCAUCUUCUUGUGUACCGUCGCACGUUUAGCUCUGAAAUCUACACGCACUCAGGUUAUCGUCCAGUUCAUCCCACCACCACAGAGGACUGACACACCAUCAAACUAAGAUCAACCUUUUGAAGAAUUAUCCUACAAUAACUAGCACUGCCUUUCCUGCAGCACAUCUAACCUGUUUAAGAGACUUGUCACAAUUAUGUUACAGUAUAUUACAUGUGAAGAUUACACCACCUAGAGGCAGCAGCCCUGUAGCCCAGCCACAGCUUUUUUUAUUUACCUAAAUCUGCAGUAUGUGUAACUGCAGUAAAAAUGCAAUGCUGAACCACAUUUAUUUUACAUGCACUCAUAGGAAAAUAUCAUAACCACUAAGCUCUCUACCAAGGCUUAUGUGUACUACCUGUAUGUACACAAUCAACAAUCAAUCAUUUACCAGCUAGAUAAGGCUGGGUAAUGGAAGAUGAGAGUGAUUUCAUGUCUUCACCCUGGUCCUUGUUGGAGAGUUGCAGAGUGAGAAGGAGGCCUCACUCUGCAACCUUCGAGCUUCAGCAGAAGAAAUUACUAAAUAGAUAAAUGAAAAAAAUAAAUUAAGUGACCAAAACAUUGUUGCUAUAAUUGCUGUUUUUGUUAUUUGGAGGAGGAGAUGUCUGCAGGGGGGGAAAACAGAACUAGUGAUGCCAAUGUGCUUGCACAGCAGUCAUGGGGAAACACUGAAAGUGACAGUCCCAGUCAUCAAAAUGAAUGUUGCUCCACCGAGGAAUUCAACAAAGGACUAUGACCAUAGUUCCAAAUGUUCAGAACUUUUUAGAAACAUAAAGAUGAGCCACAGCAAGAAAUAUUCUGAUGCGGAUUAAUUUGACCACACAAAAGUGUGUUUUAUCUGAAAGUAAAGCUAUUCAAGUCUGUUAACCAGUCUGCCAGUCACUGGAUUUCCACAUAGAUGUCAGUGGUUUUAUUUUAGGUGACUGAAAGCUUAUUGUACUGACUGUGGGAACAGCCUCAGCCUGUAGCUUGCAACAAACUUUUAGCUCCUCCUCCUAAUGAAAAAAAAUAGUACUCUCAUAUUUCCUCACUUCCUGUCCACCCACAACAUUCUCUUCCUGUUAUCGAUAACACAGCUUCUCUGCAUUAAACAAGUAAAACAAG